CAGCCGCCGCGGUAAAACGUAGGUCCCGAGCGUUGUCCGGAUUUAUUGGGCGUAAAGCGAGCGCAGGCGGUUAGAUAAGUCUGAAGUUAAAGGCUGUGGCUUAACCAUAGUACGCUUUGGAAACUGUUUAACUUGAGUGCAAGAGGGGAGAGUGGAAUUCCAUGUGUAGCGGUGAAAUGCGUAGAUAUAUGGAGGAACACCGGUGGCGAAAGCGGCUCUCUGGCUUGUAACUGACGCUGAGGCUCGAAAGCGUGGGGAGCAAACAGGAUUAGAUACCCCCGUAGUCCCUGUCUCUUAUACA
rnacentral:rRNA from 1 species